GUCCCCAGCAGACUAGCAGAGCUCCAUGCUCCUGACACCCGUAUAGGCUGCGUUAAGCAGAUAUCCUGCUAUGGUGAACGUCAGCUGGCUGUUUGUAUUGCGUUUCCUUCAGUGGAUGCGUGAGCCUGUUUGGAAGUAGUGUCCUCUGGCUGCCUUACCUGGGGCGACAACUUUCUCAGCUCCCAGCUGACAGGAGCCGCUGCUGUCCUGUGCUGUCCUGUUUUGCCCUGU